rnacentral:rRNA from 1 species
CAGCCGUAAACUAUGCUCGCUAGGUGUCAGGGACGGUGCGACCGUUUCUGGUGCCGCAGGGAAGCCGUGAAGCGAGCCACCUGGGAAGUACGGUCGCAAGGCUGAAACUUAGAGGAAUUGGCGGGGGAGCACAACAACGGGUGGAGCUUGCGGUUUAAUUUGGAUUCAACGCCGGAAAUCUUACCGGGACCGACAGCAACAUGAAGGCCAAGCUGAAGACUUUGCCGGAUUAGCUGAGAGGAGGUGCAUGGCGUAGUCGUGU